GCUCUUUGACCGCGCGCGUGUGGGCGCUGACCUUGCGGGACUUCUCCAGCAGCUUGCUCACCGUGUUGCUGGUGGAGGCCUGGUACUUGGAGAGCUUGGUGAGGUCAUUCUGGAUGCCCUUCACGGAGCCCUCCAAACUGAUCUGUCGCUGCUCCAUCUUGUGCUGGUUCUCCUGCACAGCGUCUAGCAUGUUCACCAGCUUGUCCAGGAGCGUGAGCACCGUGACUGCGUUCACCUCUCCAGUGCCUGGGACAAUGCCUGACACUUAGCAGACAGUCAGUGAAUGUGUUAUAUAAAUGAAUGAAUACUUGGAGCGUGAGAAUCAGAGCGGCAAAAAUAUUUGUCCAUAAUAUGCCUAAAGAUAAAAACGGAAGCCUCAGAACUAGAUAAGUGCAUUGUAAUUGAAUGCUGAAUUCACAGAGAUAACAUCUGAGAUUUAUUAAGCAUCAAGUCAUGUCUUAAAAAUUUUAUAUACAUUUUAGGAUUUAACUCUUAUAAAAAUCCUGUGGGUAAGUACUGUUGUCUCUCCCACUUUACAGGUAGAGAGGCUGAGGUUCAGAGAGAUUAGGUAACUCAACUAAGGUCAAAAAGUUGGUCAGGGAGCUGGGCCUUUAUAUAAAACACCAAAAUGAGCCCUUGUGUAGAACCCUUGAGAGAGAUUUUAAUCUAAUGGCUGCAAUUUUAAAUUGUGUUCAGUUGUGGUAUGUAGUUUUUCAAGGAAGAUGACCCACAGCCUUUCUUGCUUUCUGGCUUUGGAAAAGGUAGAGAUGACCACUUAAACAUUCAAGGAAAAUAAUCCCUGACUUUGAAAUCAGAAGAUCAUUCAGAUAAUAUACUUACUUAUAAUCAUCCUCUCUAAUGUCUGACUAAAGCAAGAGUAAAAGAUUGACUGAACAGCAACAAAUACUUUAACAGUUAAAAAUAAAAUUGAUUGGUCUGUUGGAAACACAAAGCACUUUUAGCCCCAUUGGUUUUCUACCUGAAACCAGAGUGAAGUGACCUGAAGGAUCUCAUAAGAUAUAUAAGACCAGCAACUAUAGGAAAGAUGAUACUUUUCUUGAAGUCAUAUAUUGUCUAAGUUGAAGUUACAUGACUUAGAAGGUCAGAUGUGCCAUCUUUUCCCUUAAUGCCCCAGAGAUUCUCUUCACCAAGAAAAUGACUACAUACUUAUUUCAUUUAAAACAGACUCAGCCUAGUGAUGGUUUUCCUUCUUCUAUAAAAAAGCAGGCUAUUCAUGAAGAUAAGGACCCUUUUGGCUUUGCAACACGUUUUCAACAUUUUACUCAUGGACAUGAGAUGGUAAAACAAGAUGAAAAUGAUUCUUUUAUUGGGCAUUCAAUUAAAAAAUGUCAUGACUUUGCCAUUAGUUUGUAUAAAUCCUAGAAAUGAGUUUCAACGAGAGUGUGUUAUUAUGUUGGGAAAGAGACGGAAGUGUAUAACCUUGGGCAGAUCGUUUAACUUCUCUCUGCUUUACAGUUACAAGCGGUAAUACAAAGAGACAGGAUUAUAUGAUCUCCAAGGUCCCAUCCAGCCCAUUUAACACGGUAUGAUUAUUUGAGAGGCAAUUUAAUGAGGUAGUGAGAAGCCUGGGCU
rnacentral:lncRNA from 1 species